GUGCUGUAGCCUUCCUGGUAGGUUUGGGGUGAGCAGGAGGAGAGCAGAAGGGUUCUAUUGGCCCAGUGCUGCUUGCAGUGACAGCUAGCAGGCUGGUAUCCCUCAGCCAGCUCAAAGGGAAGCUGCAGGCAGCAGGGAGCCCCGGUAGGAGGGCAGCAGGACCUGCUGUCACCACUACUACCACCAGCACUGCAGCCUAACCUGGCCAGGUACAUGGGCUCCAGCUUCCCCUUACUUGGCCAGGUACAUGGGCUCCAGCUUCCCCUUACUUGGCCAGGUACAUGAGCUCCAACUUCCCCUUACUUGGCCAGGUACAUGGGCUCCAGCUUCCCCUUGCUUGGCCAGGUACAUGGGCUCCAGCUUCCCCUUACUUGGCCAGGUACAUGGGCUCCAGCUUCCCCUUACUUGGCCAGGUACAUGGGCUCCAGCUUCCCCUUACUUGGCCAGGUACAUGGGCUCCAGCUUCCCCUUACUUGGCCAGGUACAUGGGC